GAUGAACGCUGGCGGCGUGCCUAAUACAUGCAAGUCGAGCGAACAGACGAGGAGCUUGCUCCCCUGACGUUAGCGGCGGACGGGUGAGUAAAACGUGGAUAACCUACCUAUAAGACUGGGAUAACUUCGGGAAACCGGAGCUAAUACCGGAUAAUAUAUUGAACCGCAUGGUUCAAUAGUGAAAGACGGUUUUGCUGUCACUUAUAGAUGGAUCCGCGCCGCAUUAGCUAGUUGGUAAGGUAACGGCUUACCAAGGCAACGAUGCGUAGCCGACCUGAGAGGGUGAUCGGCCACACUGGAACUGAGACACGGUCCAGACUCCUACGGGAGGCAGCAGUAGGGAAUCUUCCGCAAUGGGCGAAAGCUUGACGGAGCAACGCCGCGUGAGUGAUGAAGGUCUUCGGAUCGUAAAACUCUGUUAUUAGGGAAGAACAAAUGUGUAAGUAACUAUGCACGUCUUGACGGUACCUAAUCAGAAAGCCACGGCUAACUACGUG
rnacentral:rRNA from 1 species